GUGUUGCUUUGUGGAUGCAUGUUACAUAAUAUAAUGGUUUUAGUCAAUGGAGCAUUUUAUGCACAUGUAAAUGACCCUAAUCUCUUUUUUUGGAUACCAAAUGAAAUGACUACAAUCUACAAUUGCUGUUAUUUAGACCUUGUUCUUCAGUUAAUAAUUAAUUGUCUGUCUGAACAAAUAAACCGAAGGUCUAGCCAUGUUGUCCUUGUAUAUAAGAUUCAAGCACAUAUACCAGACAAAUAGAAAGUGAAACACAAAAGACACAAUCACAUGAUAUGCAUCAUACCUCCUUAUAGACGAGAACAAACCUAAAUAAGCACACAGUGACAAAUAAUAAAUAAAUAAAAAACAAGUUAAACCUUAACAUCCUCAAACUAAGUAGUAGCAUAAUAUUCUUCUACUAAAUCCAGAAAGAGAAACGUUCAUGUAGCUUCUCCUCAUCUAUGCAUGUGGUGGUGACCCACCAGCACUUGGGAUGAAAGGUAGUGUAGGAGUUGGAGUAGUGCAGCCACCAGGGUAAGUGCAAAAGAUGGAUGGGCCAAACACAACACCAGUGAAACUAGGGCUUGGAAAUGUCCCAGUCCCACCAAUGCCUCCAAUGAAGUUCUGGGUAUGAUCCACUUUCUCUGCCUCCUUCAGUUUUCUUCCAGCUCCUUCAACAUCUGAAGCAAGGAUCAUCACCAUCAUUGCCAAGGUCAGAAAUAACAGCUUAGACACUAUUUCCAUUUUCAAAGAUUUUCCUCCUAAGUCUCUUGAUACCCAGUAUAU
rnacentral:lncRNA from 1 species